CAAAAAUAUGGAGAGGUGGGAUGGAGGUGCGGGGAAUCGAACCCCGUGCCUCUCGCAUGCGAAGCGAGCGCUCUACCAUAUGAGCUACACCCCCCUGACGGUGACAACCAAGAGGCAAAAAAUAUAACUUUUAUGAAAGUACUGGCGGUGUAGUUUUAUCAGAGGUGCGAGGGCUUUUCUGUAAGAACCUCAAAGACGUGCCCAACGGCUCUCAUUCCACCACGACUCCGCGCAAUUAAAGUUGCUGCUGCGCUGCAUUCCCCACUGUUUCUGCAACUUUUUAAAUGUAGGCAAUAACUCCUCUCUCUGCAUCUUCACGGCAAUGAAAGACAAAGGAAAUCCAUAUGACAUGGUCUCCUUUACUUAUUUCUCACUUACUGCUCCUAUUUAAAAACACGCAUACAUAUUAAUACAUUUUCAGUGUCUUUAGGCGGUUCUUUCGUCCUUUUCCUCCCCGGAUUUUCUGGUGGACUUUGGAGUUCUCUCAAUCUUUAGGAGAUGAAAGCUCGUUCUACUAGUCUAAUUUUUGGAGUGGGCUAAGUUGCUUGAAAAUGGGGGAGUUUUUAGUAGUCCUUAAGCCAUUGGAGCACUUUUUCUGAGCUCAUUCUUUCAUUUGGUAUUUUCUGGUGUGUUGAGAUCCCUUUAGUGGGACAUUAUGAAGGUUUCUGGGUUAUGCGUCUUGUUCUUGGUACUGGGGACAGCUUUCUUGUUUCUCAACUUCUCAAGUGGUAUAAGAACUAGUUCCUUUAUUAUUCACGGCCACUUUAUAACGCAAUGCAUGCAAUUGUAUUCUCGUUGUUCAUUUCGAUGGUUGCAUGUCCUGUUCUGCAUGACUAAGAAUCUAUUUAGUCUUUCAUCAUUUAAACUUGGACAAAGAAGAUCAAUCAUGAAUCGGAUGGAACACUCUUUCUAUUAUUAAUGACGACAAGAUGGGCUCAGUUAACCACAGAGUUGUUUGCACCGGCCGGCUCCAAUAUAUGGACUAUCAUGAUUACCAGUUCCAUCUGUUUCAUUUCGCUAUUGUUUAAAGAUGCAUGUUUUUUAGUGCUAAAAAAAAAAGAUGUACCAUUGUCUCUUUCAGAUUUCCAACAACAUGGAAUUAGUUUGAUGAUAAUGCAUGUAUAAAACAUCAACGUUAAUCACUGGCUAUAAUUGGAACUAUGAACAUGAUCAUAACCUACUAGCCUGUCCUUUCAAUGGACAGCAGGAGGUAAUAUUGAUCUGUGUUAAAAAAUUGGAUCUCAUUUCUCCUGAUCUUACCACUUUAAAUGCUGACAAUAUAUAUAUAUCGAUUUUA